CGAAGGUGGCAAGCGUUGUUCGGAUUUACUGGGCGUACAGGGAGCGUAGGCGGUUGGAUAAGCCCUCCGUGAAAUCUCCAGGCUUAACCUGGAAAGUGCAGAGGGGACUGUUCAGCUAGAGGAUGGGAGAGGAGCGCGGAAUUCCCGGUGUAGCGGUGAAAUGCGUAGAGAUCGGGAGGAAGGCCGGUGGCGAAGGCGGCGCUCUGGAACAUUUCUGACGCUGAGGCUCGAAAGCGUGGGGAGCAAACAGGAUUAGAUACCCUGGUAGUCCACGCCUUAAACGAUGGAUACUAAGUGUCGGCGGUUACCGCCGGUGCCGCAGCUAACGCAGUAAGUAUCCCGCCUGGGAAGUACGGCCGCAAGGUUG
rnacentral:rRNA from 1 species